CACAACUGGCACGAAAUCGCACUGUGUUAAGAUCUUUUUGAAUUAAUUCUACAGUAUAUACGUGUUUUGUCCUCCCUUUUACCUACUAUAUAUUCAUUUCAUUAAACUUCAUUACAUUUUCCUAAUCGCGAAACAGGCCGCAUCUGAAUCCGAUGAUGAUAAGUGAGCUCUUCUUAUUAUUCGAAUUUAUUACUGUAUACACGCAAGAUGAAGAUACUAUUAGAUGUUUUAAACAAUCUCUUCUUUUAAAAUAAUUACUU